GUGGGGAAUAUUGGACAAUGGGCGAAAGCCUGAUCCAGCCAUGCCGCGUGUGUGAAGAAGGUCUUCGGAUUGUAAAGCACUUUAAGUUGGGAGGAAGGGUAGUAACCUAAUACGUUGCUACUUUGACGUUACCGACAGAAUAAGCACCGGCUAACUUCGUGCCAGCAGCCGCGGUAAUACGAAGGGUGCAAGCGUUAAUCGGAAUUACUGGGCGUAAAGCGCGCGUAGGUGGUUCAGUAAGUUGGAAGUGAAAUCCCCGGGCUCAACCUGGGAACUGCUUUAAAAACUGCUGAGCUAGAGUACGGUAGAGGGUGGUGGAAUUUCCUGUGUAGCGGUGAAAUGCGUAGAUAUAGGAAGGAACACCAGUGGCGAAGGCGACCACCUGGACUGAUACUGACACUGAGGUGCGAAAGCGUGGGGAGCAAACAGGAUUAGAAACCCUUGUAGUCC
rnacentral:rRNA from 1 species